rnacentral:rRNA from 1 species
GGAGUUUGGACCGUCUCUCAGUUCCAAUGUGGCCGAUCACCCUCUCAGGUCGGCUACCGAUCGUCGACUUGGUGGGCCGUUACCUCACCAACUAUCUAAUCGGACGCGAGCCCACCCCAAACCGGUUUGCACCUUUUACCCCUGCGCCAUGUGACGCUGUGGUCUUAUGCGGUAUUAGCACCUGUUUCCAAGUGUUAUCCCCCUGUCUGGGACAGGUUGCUCACGCGUUACUCACCCGUCCGCCACUAGAAUUACCGGAAAUCCUGCCGAAGCUCUCAUUCCUAUAAUCCCCGUUCGACUUGCAUGUGUUAAGCACGCCGCCAGCGUCGUCCUCGUAGCCAGGAGUCAAACUACU